rnacentral:rRNA from 1 species
ACCAAGGGUUCCUGCGCAACGUUAAUCGACGCAGGGUUAGUCGGUUCCUAAGGCGAGGCUGAAAAGCGUAGUCGAUGGGAAACAGGUUAAUAUUCCUGUACUUCUGGUUACUGCGAUGGAGGGACGGAGAAGGCUAGGCCAGCUUGGCGUUGGUUGUCCAAGUUUAAGGUGGUAGGCUGAAAUCUUAGGUAAAUCCGGGGUUUCAAGGCCGAGAGCUGAUGACGAGUCGUCUUUUAGAUGACGAAGUGGUUGAUGCCAUGCUUCCAAGAAAAGCUUCUAAGCUUCAGGUAACCAGGAACCGUACCCCAAACCGACACAGGUGGUCGGGUAGAGAAUACCAAGGCGCUUGAGAGAACUCGGGUGAAGGAACUAGGCAAAAUGGCACCGUAACUUCGGGAGAAGGUGCGCCGGCUAGGGUGAAGGAUUUACUCCGUAAGCUCUGGCUGGUCGAAGAUACCAGGCCGCUGCGACUGUUUAUUAAAAACACAGCACUCUGCAAACACGAAAGUGGACGUAUAGGGUGUGACGCCUGCCCGGUGCCGGAAGGUUAAUUGAUGGGGUUAGCGCAAGCGAAGCUCUUGAUCGAAGCCCCGGUAAACGGCGGCCGUAACCAUAACGGUCCUAAGGUAGCGAAAUUCCUUGUCGGGUAAGUUCCGACCUGCACGAAUGGCGUAACGAUGGCGGCGCUGUCUCCACCCGAGACUCAGUGAAAUUGAAAUCGCUGUGAAGAUGCAGUGUAUCCGCGGCUAGACGGAAAGACCCCGUGAACCUUUACUGUAGCUUUGCACUGGACUUUGAGCCUGCUUGUGUAGGAUAGGUGGGAGGCUUUGAAGCGUGGACGCCAGUUCGCGUGGAGCCAUCCUUGAAAUACCACCCUGGCAUGCUUGAGGUUCUAACUCUGGUCCGUAAUCCGGAUCGAGGACAGUGUAUGGUGGGCAGUUUGACUGGGGCGGUCUCCUCCUAAAGAGUAACGGAGGAGUACGAAGGUGCGCUCAGACCGGUCGGAAAUCGGUCGCAGAGUAUAAAGGCAAAAGCGCGCUUGACUGCGAGACAGACACGUCGAGCAGGUACGAAAGUAGGUCUUAGUGAUCCGGUGGUUCUGUAUGGAAGGGCCAUCGCUCAACGGAUAAAAGGUACUCCGGGGAUAACAGGCUGAUACCGCCCAAGAGUUCAUAUCGACGGCGGUGUUUGGCACCUCGAUGUCGGCUCAUCACAUCCUGGGGCUGAAGCCGGUCCCAAGGGUAUGGCUGUUCGCCAUUUAAAGUGGUACGCGAGCUGGGUUUAGAACGUCGUGAGACAGUUCGGUCCCUAUCUGCCGUGGACGUUUGAGAUUUGAGAGGGGCUGCUCCUAGUACGAGAGGACCGGAGUGGACGAACCUCUGGUGUUCCGGUUGUCACGCCAGUGGCAUUGCCGGGUAGCUAUGUUCGGAAAAGAUAACCGCUGAAAGCAUCUAAGCGGGAAACUUGCCUCAAGAUGAGAUCUCACUGGGAACUUGAUUCCCCUGAAGGGCCGUCGAAGACUACGACGUUGAUAGGCUGGGUGUGUAAGCGUUGUGAGGCGUUGAGCUAACCAGUACUAAUUGCCCGUGAGGCUUGAAC